CUCCAGUAAAAGUACAGAGAAGCAUCUGGUGACUAAACCACUGUCUGCAAUUUGGCACCAAAAUCAAUGGCGAUUGUAAACUAAGUUAAAGUUGUAUGCAAAGACAGAUGGCGGACCCAGCUGUAACUGGACAGCAUUAGAGACUACAUCUACAAAAUCUUAAAUGUCAUGGAUGAAUUUAACUGCGAUUGAUGUAGUGGUAGCCUAAACAUUAAUUUAAAACAACAAAAAAGAUAGAACACACAAGUCAAGGAUCAUUAAUCUUGGUCUGCUGUACUGCAACAACUUUACAAAAUUAUUCCAACAUUGGAUUGUAUCUGGGUCAAUUAAAAACAACCCGAAGUCAUGCAGACACACCUUUUUGCUAGCGCCUACAUCAAAGCACAGAAGGCUGUAGCUGAAAAACUAGCCUGAGUUACCAUAAAACACAGGAAUCAUUAUAUAGCUUGUUUAUAGCCUUUUACAGGGUGGUAAAUUAAAAACCACACCCUCCAUUUAAAUUUUUUUUUUUUUUUUUAAUUUACCCAGCUUUUUGGCAAGUAAACUGCUAGUAAUCUAGCCAAAACCAAGAGCAUGUUAAUAUCUUUCAAAUUCCAAAAGAACCUCUUUGGCACAAGCAAGCAGUGGGAAACUGCAACAGCUGCGUUAGAUUGUAUUAACUGCUCACAGACACAGCUAUGAGAGUCUACAGAAAGUAUGAGCAACAGCAACAUUUGUCCUUUAACAAGUCUGUGUUGGACGACAGUACGAACAGCCAAAACUCUGACUCUUCAGCAGCUUAAAAGCAAGAGUGGCAAUGACAGGAUGAAAGAAAAAAACAAGUUCAAAUCAAAACAGCUUGGAAAACUACUUUUAGCCCUAUAACAAAUCCAGCUGAUCCUUAAAAUGUUUCACCAGCUUUAAAAUGUAAAGCAAGACCCCACCGAUCUCUAGCUAAGCAUCUCUUAAAUCUCUAGAUUUAAGAGAUGCUUUUGGUUCCUACAGCAUAGCCAAAAAACACAUCAUGUGCGCUCUUAAAUAAAACGAACACCCUAGAAGCAAGGUCUAUACACACUCAGUGCAAAUAUCGUAUGUGCUUAAUUAAUCAGAAAUUAUAAACCUACUGUAUUGUUCAAGUAACAGAUUGAUUCUACAUAAUACUCUGACAAGCUGUAAUACAUCAAUGCUCAGGCAUAGGGUACAGCACAAUAUUGUUUUUAAUGCUCAUCUGUAUCGAUUAGCCAUCAAGUAUGGUUCACCAAGGUCACUCCCUCCCUGGGGGUGCUCUGAGUGUUAGGGAACCAGGCAGAAGGACAUAACCAACUGUGUCCGCUGAACAUCCAGACACAGUGGAGAUCAGUUAUCAGAAGGACUCAAAAAGAAAAUAAAUCCACAUUCUAGGUGAAAGAAAAGCCUCAGUCCGCUGACCUGAAUUCCUGGUCAGUCCACAAAUACCAAAUAAUUUUGGGGAUAAGGGAUCAACCCAGUGUUUUUACAACCAACUAAAAGGGUUUACAUAGUCUACUAUGCAGAACUUUAAAUACAAAUCUAUUGCUAAACCAAAAAAAAAAAAAAAGAGUCACAAAAUGUAGAUCCUAUUUCUGAGACUCAAAUAAAAUGCAACUUUUAAUCUAAGAAAUCAAAACAAGCACAAUUUAAUUCGUGAAAUUAGUAGCGAUAUUUCGGGAUCUCCCAUGUACCUAAUCUGUGACUGACAAGUGCCUCUGCAGAAUACAAAGUUAUCAUUACGAUUCAGAAACUGUAUGUCGACCCAAAUGCUUCCUAGGCUUGAAUCAAUUUGAUCGAAACAGACUACACGGCAAAAGCAUUUGUAUGCAGACCAUACAGCCCAAGUGGGACUGAAGACACACCGAGUCCUUGUCACAGUAAAGCUGUUUGCUUUCCUUACUUAGCCAAAGUAAGAACCACACCUUAUGGUGUCGGUAUACUGUACAGAACUGCUGGGUGAUCACCAAAAAUAUGUUGCCAAAGUGUUGUGCAUGUGCUGACCAUAUAACAAUGAUAAAAAGUAGCGAGGCUUAAAUUAACUUACUAGGCCAUAUUAUUACUGCUUGCUUCUCAUCUAUUCUGUAUUUUUAUUUGUUUUUUUUGUUUUUUUUCGCGGUGGUUCUCACGCUAGUAAUAUUUCAGGAAUUAAGAAAUACGACAGACGGCUAAACUAAGGUCACUGAUUAAUCAGCGGCAACACACCUGCAUUUUCCCACCAGAAAUCACCUGGCCUUAGGCCUGCCAUGUUACAGCACGCAUGGACAGUUAUUGCGUACAGUAGGAGACCUUUGGCAAGAACAGAACAAAUUGUACAAAACCCAAGAUUUAGAAACUCUUCAGGAGCACAGUGAUUGGUACCUGCCCAAAGUGGUCUUACCAAACACCAGCUCUGAAGAUGGAUGUAAUAAUGAUGUGGAUGUGUACAAGAUGAGUCUGGGAGUUGCAGCAGAGAUGUGUUCGAUCUGGGGAAGUAACCUCAAUUACAUAAAAUGGCAGGUUUUUGGCUGAUGACAGCCUUUCUUGUAAAAAAAAAAAAAAAAAAGAUAGCAGAGCUCUCAGCCCCAUUUGUCUCCUAGUCCAUUGUAACCCAAUUUGAUCUCACUUCUCACUGUCAGAAUCAGGCUAACUUCAGAAAACAGAACUCCCCACUUCACUUUAAGUUUCAUUAAGUCAGCUACAGGGCAGCUGCAGUUUCUCAGAAUUGCCUGCUGGUGUUCUAAAAUGCCCUACAAUACAUAUUCCCCCAUUCUCUUCAGUUUAGUGUCUAAUACCAGUGUGUCUCCUCAUAGACGCUUCCCAGAUAGAAGUCAUUCCCUCACCACUGUUGCACGGUGAGACAAACUAACCGCAGUUUAUUUUCCUCCCCAAGCCUGCUGGAACGCAAAGGUCAAUUCACGCUCCCGCCGGGUCCCUGGACAAGACUGGAAACUUGGCAGGGCCGGGAUUCUAACCAGCUCCUGAUGGCAUGAAUUACACUGCACUUCAGUCGUGCUCAUUCUGAAUGGGCAACCAGAGAUCAAUCACAUUGCUUUUUUAAGUGGAAACUGAAAAUAACUUGUGUCAUAUUUAUUUGGUGUUUCUUCUUUUUCUAAAACAUUUAAUUAGCCAUGGGGUCUGUGCUUAUACCUUUUAAGUAUGUAGCCACUGUUAUAAAUAGAACUGUGAGAAAGACGGAAAGUGACGCAUAGCCAGGUGACUUUCCCAAAGUGAGUGGCUCAGUUAGUCAAGCCCGGACUGGAACUGCAAAAUGAAAUCCCACCUGUUAACCAGAGUCACCCAACCUCCACUCUUCGUUCAAAACACUAAACAUGAAUUGCUGUAUGGUUGCAUCUGCUGUAUUCCCAUAUAUGAUGACCUUUUAAAGUAAGAUGUUAUAAUUAAAUAGGACUUACCUAGGUACAGUGUGUUUGGAAUGGUAUGAUCUGGUCCCUGUUUAAAAGCAAUAUCUACAAAGUGAAAUGCUAUGCAGUGGCUGAAAAAAUACAUGAGUAUAUAGAACACAUGUAAUAAAUUUAAUUCAAAAUCAAUACGUCUGCAUUGAUAGAUGCUCUUAUAGACCCUCUGCAUCAUGAUUAUGGAUAUAUGAUUUCACUUUGCACCCAUAAAGUGGGGUUCAGCAUUGUUUUUGAGGAGCUAAAAAUGUCCAAUUUAAAAAUCAGUUCUGUGGAACUUACCAAAUUACUGAAACCCUGGAAAAUCUGUACUUUUGAGGGAAGCUGGAACAUCCUGGAUAUCCAUUACAGUGAUUUAGGAGUGGAGGGAACUGCUAGAAGUCUGAGCACUGCAAAGAGGUUAAACAGAUGCACCUUUCAGAAUUUAGAGCAGACGUUAUAAAGGCAAAAGGACAAGAAUGGGAGCAGUGCCAAUAUGCAAGCAGGUGGAACUGUAACGCUGAACCAUUUACACUGAAUAAACAAGGCAGUAAGUGCUUAUGUGGCAGUCAUUAGUCAUUUAAGGCUAGGAUUUGGAUAAUGAAAUAAUAUGAAACGACUUGAUAAUAUCUUACAACAAUAGCAUUGUAAUUAUUGCAUCCAUAAGUAUAACAAUCAAUGGGUGUAUAUUUUAGAAAUACUAAAAUAAACCAUGUAAAUUC